CCUACGGGUGGCAGCAGUGGGGAAUAUUGGACAAUGGGCGAAAGCCUGAUCCAGCCAUGCCGCGUGUGUGAAGAAGGCCUUCGGGUUGUAAAGCACUUUCAGUGGGGAAGAAAGCCUUGGGGCUAAUACCCUCGAGGAAGGACAUCACCCACAGAAGAAGCACCGGCUAACUCCGUGCCAGCAGCCGCGGUAAUACGGAGGGUGCGAGCGUUAAUCGGAAUUACUGGGCGUAAAGCGCGCGUAGGCGGUCUGAUAAGCCGGUUGUGAAAGCCCCGGGCUCAACCUGGGAACGGCAUCCGGCACUGUAGGAGUAGAUGGCAGGAGACGAAGGAAAGGUGCGCGGGGAAGAGGCGAACGACGGAGAGCGCGGGAGGGAGGGCAGGGGAAGAGGUGGACUUGAGGACUGACAAGACCGCUAAGGUGCAAACGACUUGAUAGCACCAAGGAUUAGCUACACAAGAAGAG
rnacentral:rRNA from 1 species